GCAGGCCCACUUGCAUCUGCUGUGAGGUGAUGUAGUCGUUGAGGAUCGUCUGCCGCGUGUUCUCCAUCGCAUAGAGCUGAUACUGACUGGGGUAACCUGGAGUUGGUGACAGCUGUCUCUGGAACAGGCAGCAGCAGGAUCUGGCCAGAGGCUGUAGCUGUUCUAACCCUAGGUUAGAGCGUGACACAGAUGCUAGGAAGCUGGAGGUGUGGUAAAUGAGCAGAACACACACAAGGAACUUAGUGCUGUAUGUCAAUUCUAUCCCAAUAAAACUGGAAGAAAUAAAAGAAGAUAAUGCCUCUAUCCUCAAAACACUGAUCAUCCAGCUCAAGCUCAACAAUGGCAAGCAAGUGAAAUAAAGGACUAUGAUAAACACUACAUAAAAGUAAAAACAUGUGCUUCUGUCUGAGAGCUUGAAGGAACUAUCAUAUAUAUAUAUAUAUAUGUUCUCCCUAGAAGAACAAACGACAAGCUUUCGGGAGUGUCUGCGUCCCCUUCCUCUAGAACUCCCAGCUGAAUCUGUCAGCUGACUGUGUGAGUGGGAACUUCUGCCUUGGUUCUGGAGACAGGCCCUGAAGAACCCGGUGUGGGCUCCUCUGAAACUGAACGUUCUCAAGCGACAACGUGAUGGUACUGACAUCAUCACAGCCCAGCAAAAACUCUGCACCAACCUGCUGAUGGGACUCCUUUCACUGUGCAGAGUCCACUGCCCGGUGCCCCUAGCAUCACCGUGCCCAGUGCAGGCUGCUCUCUAGAAAACCUACAUGCUUCUACACUGACCAAAGCCAUGUUUACUCAAAGUCAGUGGUGUCUGUUCAAAAGUUCCUUCCAGCUGUACUUGUUACUGUAAUUGUGUAACUUAAUGAAAAACUCUGUAAAUCUAUGAGAGAAGAACAAAAAAAGUGGUUUCUCCAGAAACUAAGUUGACUGCUUUGGAAAGACUCAAUAUAGAAGCUGAAUUAGGUAUAGACUAGAUAAUUUUAAAAGACUGGGAAAAAAUCUAGAAGGAUUCUGUAUUUAGAUUGCUUUUAAGUGUCUUUAAAUUCUAACUUCACUUAAAAAACCAAACCUGGAGAUGUAUCAUUUAUACAAGAAAGACAGUAGUGAGGUUUAAUCAGUGGCCCCUGACCUGAGAUCAGAACACUGGUGAAUGCAUGUCUCUGCUGUAAAUUGAAACAUAUAACGUAUGCAUGUGUCAUUUAAAAACAGUUCUUCACAUUAACCCACUUUUCCAAUCAGCUUAACCAAAUGCCAUCAGACAAGAGAGCUUUCCACAUACCUAGUAUUUUUAGCUCUUUCAGGGGUGCUGGUAAUAUUUUGUGUCUUGAUCUGAGACCUGGUUACAUGGGGUGCAUAGUUUGUGAAAAUUCACUGAACUAUAUACACUAAUGACCCAUGCAACUGUCUGUGGACUGUACCUUAAUAAACAGAAAGUCUAGAAAGCCA